UACGGAGGGUGCAAGCGUUAUCCGGAUUCACUGGGUUUAAAGGGUGCGUAGGUGGGCAGGUAAGUCAGUGGUGAAAUCUCUAAGCUUAACUUAGAAACUGCCGUUGAUACUAUCUGUCUUGAAUAUAGUGGAGGUGAGCGGAAUAUGUCAUGUAGCGGUGAAAUGCUUAGAUAUGACAUAGAACACCGAUUGCGAAGGCAGCUUGCUACACUAUUAUUGACACUGAGGCACGAAAGCGUGGGGAGCAAACAGG
rnacentral:rRNA from 1 species